UAUGCUUGAUGAGACUGGAACCCAAAACUCAAGAUUUGGUGCUUCUCUGUUGUUUGUUCUCAAUGUGCUGUGAGUUUUUGCCUCUAAUAUGCGUUUCUCUUCAACACAGCCGACAGUAUGUUCUCCUCUGGCUUUCAUUAUGAUUCUCUCGCAACUUAAAAGUGGUGGUUUGUAAGACGCACUGCAACAUGACCAAGGCGUGUGUGUGUGUGAGCGUGUGUGUGUCCAACAAAAGUAUUAAUGCUCUGUACUUGCGUAGAAGUAAAGCUAGUGUACUUGUGUAAAAAGAAAAUGAUAAAAAAUAGAAAUACAAAUUCAACAGUGAAAGAAAAAAGUACAGAUUGAAAUAUACUUUAGUGCAAAAGUAAAAAGUACAAAGACAUACACAAAGAAAAUAACUUAAAUAAACGAUAUCUUUCUUUCGUAUUUUAUUUUAUUUUUUAAAUAAGAAACAGAAUUUUUGAAGGCCAGAAACUGGUAGUUUUUAGGCUGGCACAAGACACAAUGCAUUUGUCGGAAUCAUUCUUGUAGCCGACAACGUCAAACAACUCUCAAUAUGGGCGUUGAUGCUAAUACCUCGCUUCUCCGAUUCAGUUGAAGUUGUUGUUAGUACUUCCUGGUUCACGUUCUUCAAAGCUUUCUCAAAUCUCAGUCAAUCAAGAUUUCAACAGUAGGCGUUGAAUGAUUCAAAAGUUGAGUCAUGAGUUGAGUUGAAGCACAGAACAUAUUUCACGCUAUACACCGGUUUCACAUAAAGACAGACAUAUCUCAUUAUAUAAUACUAACAAUAAAGAAAGAAAAAUACAAAUCACCUUGACCAUGAAUGUAUUUUUUCCUGCCUUUUAUCUCUUUGAAGAGCCGAUAUUGGGUUCAGUAGCAUAGCGUGUUGUAAAGUAGCACAUAGACAAAAGUUGUUAAGUACACAUUAUUGCACGUAGCAUUUUGGAACCGACGAUGGCGCUUCACUUCACACUGGUGCCCACAUUCCACGUGGCCCCGCUGUUAUGAAUAUUUUAAGACGAACGGUGAUCAGAAUAGCUGUAGGUCGUAAGCCUAACUGCUAGUCUCAUGCACAAGGGUCUGACCAUUUUACAAUCACAUCUCAGCAUGCAUUCUGCGUAGAUGUUGUAAAGUAGCUUGUGAACAAAUGCAAUAUUUCGGCUCGGAAAUUGUAUGUAAACCAAUCUGUUUCAAUUCAUGGUCCAUUUGCUUUUAUUUUAGCAUAAACCUAACUCAUUAUACCAAAACAUUUGUGCCCAGUAUACCGAUAUUUGGUAUUGUUAAUUGUAAUCCAGCUUCUUUUAUUGUUUGUUUGUUUAAAAAAAAAACAUGUGAGGAGCCGCCUUGAAAAAAAUAAUUACAAUCAAAAUAUUGCAAUUAUUAUGAAUAAAAAUGCAAUUAGAUUAGAUUUCACAAUCGUUCAGCCCUACUUGUAAGUCAAGUAAAUCAAGGCAACCCCCCCCCCCCCCAUAUGAUCUUGUAUCUUGAAAAACUUAUGAGUAUUAGUGGAGCGUUCAUUGAGUAUCACUAUAUUUGUACUUUGCGUGUGUGUGUGUGUGUGUGUGUGUGAGGGGGGGGGGAGUGAAUGGGAGAGCAAUUAUUUGAAAGACAACAAAAUUCCAUCAGCAUAGGCACUAAUGCUGAGCAAACCCUCCAAAAGCGCCUGUCUAUGUGGAAAUGAGAAAUGAGUUGUCACCACACACACGCACACGCACACGCACACGCACGCACACACACACACACACACACACACACACACACACACAC